rnacentral:rRNA from 1 species
UACAGAGGGUGCGAGCGUUAAUCGGAAUUACUGGGCGUAAAGGGUGCGUAGGUGGUUUUGUAAGUAACAUGUGAAAGUCCUGGGCUUAACCUGGGGAUUGCAUGUUAAACUGCAAAGCUAGAGUGUUGUAGAGGAUAGCGGAAUUUCCGGUGUAGCGGUGAAAUGCGUAGAUAUCGGGAGGAACACCAGUGGCGAAGGCGACUACCUGGCCUGUUCUUGACGCUGAGGCGCGAAAGCUAGGGGAGCAAACGGG